CUGAGACCGAGUGUGCUGCUUGGACUUGAGCGUGUCCCGAGUCUCCUGGUCCUCUCCGGUGGAUCCCUGCUCUAAAUGGCUGACCUCUUCCACUGUCUAAUGGGUCUUCUGAUUUCAUUCUCGAAAGGGAGCCCUCAUUUCAAGUCCUGGGGUACCCUGUGCGCAAACUCCAUCUAUCUGGAGUGCUCCCCCUCCGGGGCUCCGCGGGACACUGGAUCUCCAGGUUAUCCGCGUGCGGAUGGAGGAGCCCCCAGCGGUCAGCCUCCUGCAAGACUGGUCCAGGCACCCCCAGGGCACCAAGCGUGUGGGAGCAGGUGACACCUCAGACUGGCCCACAGUUCUGUCAGAAUCCAGCACCACUGUGGCAGGGAAGCCGGAAAAAGGGAAUGGAGUGUAAAUUCUUGCUUUCCUGGGGAGGGAGGGAGGGAUGAGGCAGCGUCCCCCAGUGGCUUAUAACUCAGAGCUGCCUGGCUCACCCACCUGGUGGAGAGAGUAGAAACAGGUGCCAGGGCAGGAGGGGGCUGGGGCAGCAUCCACUGUUAUUUCGGGGCACUGGAAAGUGUCUGUUCCUGGCCAGGCCUGAGGUCGGCGAGGGUGGCUGAGGCUGUUGUGCAGUAGGGCACUGGGCCUGUGGAGAACACCUACCCCAGUCCUUCGCUGACCCCCACCUCUGUUUGUCCCCCAUGACCUCCUCCCACCCUCCCCCUGCUCCCCACCAUUCUCCCUUGGCACAGUGCCUUACACAAGAGUGGUCAUAAGGGGGUUUGAACUGAGUCCCACUACCUCGGGGGACACCUCUCCUCCCCACUUGUUCAGGCUUCUAAACCAGGAGGCCUCCAUUACCUCUUCCUGUCCCACCCCUGCAGAGGCCUGAAGCUGGGCCUGGGCACCCCAUUCACUCCCGUUCUCAUUUACAUCUGUUUUCCUGUUGUAUAUAUCACCUUUGUUGACAAUAAAUUAUUUUUUU
rnacentral:lncRNA from 10 species